UGGACAUUGACGGGGUAAGGGAUACCUAGUCAUUUGAGUCAUCACUGCAAUCAUCAUGUUUACUUCUGAAGAUCACUUUAGCACCGCCCUAAAAACCUUCAACUAGUAGUGACAGACAGCUGGUGACAUUUUGAAAACAGGUUUUCAAACACUUGUAGCCCGAUUAUAAGGACAACAGACUCCUUAUAGCCCGGCUACUGUAGUUGUGAACAUCCCCCCCACCUGCAAAAAAUGACAUUGCGCCCGAAGAGAAGAGAUGAAAUGGACAUUGUUUUCAUCAACCCAGCUUCUUUCUAUGGUGCUACCCGUUCCAGGGUUAGGACCGUAACCACGAGAGGACUUGAAAAUGAGCCGGAGCUGAGAGGAUCACCAAAACUAAAGAGCAUACAAAAUGCCGACAAUCAUCCGUGGAGAUCAGUGGACAAACGGCUGGACAACGGGCUGCACCGAAAAAACACAUGGUUGCCAAGAAAGCAGUUAGUUUUACUACAUUCUUAAAAUGUGUACGCAGCAUUUGUGUGUUGGAGUCACUUUUAAUUCUUAAUUGAUGUACCAUUUCUAUCAUAGGCCACUGUAACCAAUGGGGGCUCAGGGCGUAACCAUUCUGCCCAUCUGAUUUGAUUUAGAUGUUAUUAGGAUCUCUUUUAGUUCUCAUUUGGAAUAAUCUUCCAAGAGUCCUUAAACAUUAAAAUACAAUUUUUAAUACGAUCACAUUUUCACAUAUAACACGCUGUUACAAACAGACAUAAUACACUAACAUAUUGACCAGAUAAAUACUCUAACAGUCUAAAAAUAUAGAUUGAUUCUUCACCUAUCAUAGUCCACCACAACAUUCCUAUGGUUUUAAAGUAUUGUUUAAAUGUAUAUAUAUUGAAAGGUUUCUGGUUUGCUCAGUUAAAUUAUUCAAUUUCUUUAUUGCUCUAAAUCAAAAUGUUAUUUUGCCUAUUUGUCUUUUCUGUCUGGACAAUAUAUUCCUAGCAUUUACUGAAUGUCUGUCUCUUACCAACUGAAUACCGUUGUGAAUAGAGUUUGGCCAUUUUAAAAUGAUUUAUAUUAUGAAAUAAAAUAACCAUGUUUUUUUUCAA